rnacentral:rRNA from 1 species
AAGUAACGCUGGCGGCAUGCUCUCACACACGGACAAGUUGAACGGGUUUAAGUCUAUUAAUCCUUAAACAAGUAGCGGACGGGUGAGUAACGCGUAAGAACCUACCUUUAGGUAAGGAAUAACUAUUGGAAACGAUAGAUAAUACCUUAUAAGCUUAUAGUAAAAGAUAAAAUCGCCUAAGGAUGGGCUUGCGUCUGAUUAGCUUGUUGGUGAUUUAAAAGAUUCACCAAGGCAACGAUCAGUAGUUGGUCUAAGAGGAUGAUCAACCACACUGGGACUGAGACACGGCCCAGACCUCUACGGAGGGCAGCAGUGAGGAAUUUUCCGCAAUGGGCGAAAGCCUGACGGAGCAAUGCCGCGUGGAGGAUGAAAGCUUGUGAGUCGUAAACUCCUUUUCUUAGUGACGAAAUAAGACGGUAUCUAAGGAAUAAGCAUCGGCUAACUCCGUGCCAGCAGCCGCGGUAAUACGGAGGAUGCAAGCGUUAUUCGGAAUUAUUGG